UUGGCAGAUUUUAAUUUAUUUUUUUUUCACAAUUACAAAUUGCAGAACUUUAAACAUUAUUGGAAUUAUUUUGUUUUCAAAAGAGCAUUUCAUUAAAAUUAAGUAAGAUAAUGUACACAUUAUUACAUGGCUUCUAUAAAUACCUCACACAAAAGGAAGAAUACUGUGUAGUUAUAUUAGGUCUUGACAACGCUGGAAAAACGACAUAUUUAGAAGCAGCUAAAACAAAAUUCACCAAAAACUACAAAGGUAUGAAUCCAGCUAAAAUCACCACAACGGUAGGCUUGAAUAUUGGCACAAUAGAUGUGUCGGGAGUACGGCUGAAUUUCUGGGAUUUAGGAGGACAGCAAGAAUUACAAUCUCUAUGGGAUAAAUACUACCAGGAGUCACACGGUGUGAUUUAUGUGAUAGACUCAAAUGAUCGUGAGCGUAUGGACGAGUCAAAGGAAAUUUUUGAUAAAAUGAUUAAAAACGAAUUGCUCUCAGGUGUUCCACUACUAAUUCUUGCUAAUAAGCAGGAUCUGCCCGAUGUUAUGGGUGUACGUGACAUAAAACCAGUAUUUCAACAAUCUGGCGCGCUUAUAGGCCGUCGUGACUGUCUGACAAUGCCAGUGUCAGCGCUUACGGGUGAAGGUGUAAAUGAGGGUAUUAAAUGGUUAGUUGAAGCCAUUAAACGACAUUCCAUAGUGCGUCCGCCGCGAGAGAACGAUUGAUCAUGAUUGUGCAUGUUGCAGUUAACGGAAAUAUUUUAUAAUGUACAAUGAAUCACUUUUUAUUUAUAUCCUCUCAAGCAACACAAUGGGAGACUGGAGCAAAAUUUUUUUCCUCUUAACUAACUUUUUAAACUUAAAGAUAA
rnacentral:misc_RNA from 1 species